rnacentral:lncRNA from 1 species
CUAGGUUUGAUAGACAAAUGCUGUCCUUCUGAAGAAGCUACUUCUAGUUCUAGGUAGUAGUAGCGAACUGGUCUCCUCAUGCAUGUACAUGGUCUCAACAUGUCUACGAGAAGGCAAUUUUUAUUUUGUCUCAACCGGUAAAUAAAUACAAAUAUUCACCACAUGUUUCAAUUUCAACCACCAAAUGCUAUGUAAUAAAUUGUACAAAAAAUAGUACAAAUACGCAAUAAAUCUCUCGCAACAAAUUAAAAUACUGGUCCUAGAGAAAUGCGAGCAUGGGUCGCCUUCAUGAUCUCUCCACGCAUGCAUGGAUCGAUGGAUGCAUGAAUUAGUUGGCAAGACCUGCAGCAGCUGUAGCCAUAGUUGCUGCCCGGCUAGCAGCGAUCGAUGGAAUUGAUUUGGUCCCUCCCUUCCCUCCCAACAAAGGUGGCCGAGAAAUUUAUGGGGACUAGACCCACAGAAGCAUCACAAUCAGUACAUUCAUAGCACAGUGUUGGCCAACCUGGUUUUGUACAAUCAAGAAGGCCAUCUAAACUUUGUUUUGAUCUCUCUCUCUCUCCCUCCCUCUCUCUCUCUCUCCCUCGCUCCCUCCCUCCCUCCCUCUCUCCCUCUCUCCCUCCCUCUCUCUCUCUCAGGCCUUCUUUGAAACACGAUUUUGCCCCCAAAAUCUGUAGAAAAUGAUGUAUUCAUUCAUGUGAAACUUCUGCAAAUAAAAUUCCUUUGUUCCGAAAGAGACCUGAAUUCUUCUUUUUGCUCCAACAACAACCCAAGAGAAAGAGAUGGAUCCAAAGGAAGAGUCAAGAAAAUUGGAGGGAAGCGUACUUCGGAACCGCAGAGCGUACGUACUGAAAUCUACUGCAUGCAUUGAAUGUGUUGAUGUGUGCCUGUGUCCCGGCCCCUCUCUCCCUGUCGUUCCUGCUGUCUUUUUCCCCCGUCCUAGUUUUAUUUUGGCUUCCCCGCCGGCCGGCUAGAGGGGCAGACAGACUGGUGCUGCCGCUCCAUGCAACUACCAGUGAAGACUGAAGAGUAGUUAAAGCCCUAUCUAACAACCUCUCGUCCUGUUAGUUUAUGCUACGCCGGCAGUAACCUUAUACACACACACGAUUAUUACCAUGGGCCUAGCAGUAAAGAGAGUCACACAAGCUCACAGCAGUAAAGAUCGAAUCAGUGAUGCGAGGAAGUUACCAUCAUGGAUGGGGCCUGUGCCACUCGGGGAUGCAGGUGGAAGAGAAAGAAUGAUGCCACGGUGGUAGGUGAAGUGAAACGGCGCUGAAACCUAGAAGGUUAGUUUCAGCGCAGCCGAUCGAGGAGUAAAUUCUUCCGGCCGGCCUCGAUCCCUCUCUAGUCUCUCCCUCCCUCCCUCUCCUCUGCACGUCUGACGAGAACGAUCCACACAUUUUUUAAAAAAGGGCCUGUUACUGGGUGACGCAGGCGAUAGACGACGAUCCGGCCGCGUGCAGGUUCCUGCGCCUCCCCCAUUCCCAUGUCUUCGUUCUAGCUCGCCUCGCCAGCCAAAGCCAAACACGCCGUCGUGGCGUCCAUCUAGACGCCAUUAAUGCCCUAGUUGCGAGGGGGGGGGGGGGGGGGGGGGGGGGGGAGCUUGAAUGCCCUAAACGCGCGCGCGCGCGCGGUCCGUACAGCGUCCGGCAGCCUACGUGACCUGCAUGCAUGCAAAAAUGGCCAAAAAUACACGCUGCCAUGGCUUGCUCGGCCGGAGACAUAUCCUGCUCGGGGGCGUAAUGGCUACCAUAUACACUUAUACAGUAUGCCACCCACGUUGUGGCAUGCCAUUAUUUUGCAAUAAUUCCGAAGUUAUUCUCGCUUUGAAUUCGCCCCUUUAAUCCAUCUUCAGAAAAUGGUAUACACUUUUUGUUGGCAUGCAUUUGUUGCGAUUAUUCUUGUUGCAAAAGAAAAAAAAGUUACAAGAUUCUUCAUUCAAAAAGAAAAAAAAUACCCAAGAAAGUAUAAGCAGUCUUCUCAUUAAUUGUUGAUUGAGUUCGUUCUCGAGUGAUCUUAGUCAUGACGUUAAUUGUUUGAUCUGUGGCACCAAAUUGCUAUCCACGAGGAAAAUGUGCGACGUCAAGUCAAGAAAAGGCUCAGGGGGCGUCUCUGCACCUUCGUAGCAAGCAAAUAUGAUUGAGGAAUGCAACACACUUGGUUAAGCGAUCGAUAUGGUGGCGAGUGAAAUCACAGCCAGAAUGUUCAGUUCUGCGGACUAAGGAUUGGACAAGGCUACUGAAACACCAUAAGCAUUCUUGAACCUCUCUCUCUCUCUCUGAUGCCGAUCGAUGGGUCAGUUGCCACUGGCUGGACGGCCAGGAUGGACCCAUAAUUGGCGCAGGCCGGAAAUUACCAGGGCCCUGCCCCACCGUGCCGGUGUGCAGCCCACUACGGCUACAAGCAAUGUGCGGGACCCGCCUAGGCUAAAGCGGGAGGGGGAGAGAGAGAGAGAAAUUAAAGCACCGCCUGUUACUAGCCAUGACACGGCCACAUGAACCAGCUAAAGGAGCCAGUUAAAGCUCCCCUAAAAACUCCUAUUUUGCAUUGCCCUGGAACAGUUUUCACCACCACCUGCAAUUUCUGCCUUCUUUGAACUCUCUACUUCUCCCUGUCACAGUUUCCAGUUUUUUGUCCUUGCCAUGAGAACUGAAAUGGUAAGUGUUAACAACUGUUCAUGUGUAUGUGUGUACAUAUAGUAAACGGUAAAUUGAAACAUGAAUGGAAAAUUAACAAGGAAUUAACAGAGCAGUAAACCUGUCACUGGAUUAAGAGAAAUGAAGGAAUAUGAUGCAGCAGUUAAGUUACCUAAUACUAUAUAUUAGUGAAUAUAUAGUGUGACAAAAUAAAGAAGGGUAGUGAGAUGUAUGCACACAAGAAUGCACAACCAACCAGGUGAUUGCUGGCGAAAUUGAUGAGAUCCAUCUAACCUCUUGGAAGCUAGCACUGAUUAUACCAGUGCCCUAGUUGAAUACCACCCUACACAGUGAGCAUGGAUUAGCAUUGGCUGCGUACAGAUGCAUGAGGCCAAAGGUCCCACAGCACCAUGCAUUUCAUUGAAAGACCUCUCUCACUGUGAUGUAACAUACCAGCAUGCAUAGUUGGGAACAUUCUCGCCGCUGUUAGCUAGCAAGCCCGCUAGGUACCUUUUAGUUUUAAGUUACUCUUACAGUGGACUUGAUAACUGCAUGGUAGUAGAAUAGCUCUGUAACCAGCAUAGUGCGGCGGCGCGCGGUAAGAAUUCCGGCGCCCCCGCCGGCAACCCAUCCACAUCCACCUGUGCCUGCUGCCGCCUGCUCUGGCGCCGCUGAUCCGUGGCAUCUGAUCCCUAUUAUUAAAACCCAAUUUUUCCUGGCGCGCAGUGAGGGAGUGAGAGGGGAUGGAAGAAGGUGCGAUCUACUCGAUCCAAAAGUUUCACCGCUCUCAUUCUCCCCACAAUCAUUUGCACCACCCCUUGGCCCUUGCCCUCUCUCUCCUCCAUCUCUCUCUCUCUCUCUCUAAUGACUAUUUAACAUGCAGCCUUUUGUUUUGCAGCUACCUGCCUGCAUAUAAUUCUGUUGCCUGCAUAUAAUUCUGUUGCCUGCCUUCUCUCUCCUUUAGCUUGGCUCCCUCCCCAUCGCCAUCAUCAUCACCUCCAUCUCCUCACCAUCACGCCUGCCUCCUCCUCCAUCCUCUUCUUCCUCCUCUCCUUUACACCGCUACAAAAGAGCUAGCAUGAGCACACUGCUUGCGAGCUAGCUGCUGUUCAUCGCAAUUCAUCGCACGACCCUGAGCUUGACCUAGGUAGGCUGUUGUUCUUGGCGAGAGCUAGCUAGCUCUGUGCAGGCGCCUCGAUCUCACUGCUAGUGCUAGCUAGAUUUCAUCCGAUGGGCGUCGAGCUCGACCUGUCUGAAUUGGCCGUGCUCCGGCCGAUCCAGACCGCAGCGAGCAGCGGGGGCGCCGCAACGCCUCGGCGGGGAAACGACGGCCCGGACGCCGCCGACACCGGCUGCGUCACGCCGACGGCCAUGGGCUCCUUGUUGCCGCGGCCAGGAGCCUUCGGCGUCGGCGUCGCCCUCGACGUCGUCGAGGCCGUCUUCAGCACGCCGACAUCGUCCCCGUGCCUGCUGCGGCCGGCCACGGUGUGCCCUCCGGCGCCGCGGAAGCCGGCGAGGGCGCCGGCCGCCGCCGCCAAGCGGAAGCGCUGCUGCGACCUCCCGGGGCUGUCCUUCUUCCCCGUGCCGCAGGACCUCUCCACGGUGUUCGUGCCGCGCGGCCCCGCCGCGGACAGGUCGCCGCCGCCGCCCCGGGGUGCCAAGAAGAUCCGCCGCCUGUUCGUCGUGGGGUGAAGCGGCGGCCGGCGACGUCGCUCGCCGGAGAGAUUGCUAUCCUCAUCCAGUGCUGAUCGAUCCACUCGCCGCGCGUGCGCGCGGCUUGCCGAGCUCGGUUGCGGCGGCGCGCCAUUGGACAUCUGCUGCGACUGCGAGCGGGAUCGAAGGACAAUUUCUUGGGCUUCUUGAAAGCACAGAAGAGUAGAAGACACCAUGGCCAUGCGCCUAUGUUUCGUCAGAGCUUACUGAUCGAGUGUGUGUGCAGUGCGCUGCUUCUCAGAUCGGUCGAGUCUGAAUAAUCGAAUUGUAAAUACUAGCUACACUGUUGUCUGCGCAUGGUUGUCUUGGCGCGCAACGCGGGUAUAAAGGCCACAAUCUCUGGGAAUUCACUCGCUUCUGUUUGCAAAAGGAUACAAAAUCCACCCCCCCUGCCCUUUCCAGAAUCAAUGUUUCUGUGCCAAACGCUGUAAAAAAAAUCUCCGAUGUAGUAUGAUCUUGAUUGUUCUGAUGGUGUCCCUCUGCACACAUUUUCUGUUUUCUUUCCCUUGCAGACUCCAAUUCUUGAAAAUUGUGUCUUGGAUCUAGCCUGAAGCGUGUGAUUGGUAUCUCUGUUUUUUCUUCUGUUUGUUUUCAGAAGGGGGAAGCACUGCACUGGAGAGGGUCCUGACGUGAGCUGCUUCCAAAUCGUGUCCUCUUGCUAGCUGCAGCGCUCUGCAGGCCUGCAGGCCUUUUGGAUGGUAUUGGUACCUAACCCAGCAGAGUGCAGAGAUGCAUGUGUGCGUGCAUGGAUGAGCCUGAGCUGAGCGAAAUUCAGAGGGCAGAACAGAUCUGGAGAAAAAGGCAGUUGAGCCGCAGGGGCACUCAGAUCUGAGCAGGUUUGCAGGCGCUGGCCGCUCCAUCUCCAUCCAGGGUUUAAUGAUUCGCCCAUUUCUCAAACUGUUCACGUACAAUUUGCUGCAUAUUUAAAAUUUUCUCUGACCUCAAUGGAGAAAGUAUGCAGCAGAAUCAAUCAAGCAACUGUACAAGUGUUUAGACGAGACCUGCUGCCUCAUCCUGAAAAAAGCCUGACCCGAGCGCUUGGUUGGUUUGAGCCCAGCGUAGUAGCUGGAAUCCUGAAAAAAAACAAUGUUUUACUUUUGAAAUAGGAUAGCUAUAUCACUAUUUAUUUUCUUAUAAAAUAUAUAAUUUUCAAGGAAUAUGCAGGCACUAUUUAUAAACCUUUUUGAAGUGGAGCGAGAUUGGCUUACUUAGUUGGCAGAAACAUAUAUAGUCAUAAUUGAAUCAAACUUAACAAAAAAAAACUUUAUUUCUCUCUAAAUAUUUUUAAAAAAAUAAAUAAGUGAUGCUUUCAAAAGUGUACAAUAUAUUUUCGAUAAACUAGAUUACUGAGCACAACUAAACUAAUGUUCACAUUCCGGAAAAUGAUAUGGUGACUGUCGGCACAAAGUGAAAAAAAGGAGACGUUUUUUUAAUGUGCAAAAAGAUGCACCACAUACGCAAUAAACUUUAGUAUGUUUUAUUUUGUGGCCGGGACAACAGGAUAUCCAAGAAGUAGUACUGCACAAGUUCAAACCUGGAGGAACAAGUAGGCACACCCAACCGGCCAACUAUCGACAUCCCGGAAGAAGACGGAUAGAUACGUCAGACAUAUGCAUAUAUACAUAUACAUACAUACAUACACACAUAUACGUACAUACAUACGUACACACACACACACACACACACACACACACAUAUAUAUAUACACACACACACACACACCAGUGCGUAGAUGAACGGAUCGAGGGACGGAAAACAAGCGACUUCAAAAAAUUCGAAUUUCAAAUUUCGAGCUACUAUUCACCGCACUAUUCAAAUUUAGCGAACACUAUUUAAAUUCGCGGCACUAUUUAAAUUCAGCUCACUAUUCAAAAAUGGGAAUAUGAAUAGCGCCCGAGCACUCACCAGGAGUGGGUGGAGCACCUCAGGGUGGAUGGAAAUGUUUCCGCGCUAUUCACUCACUAUUGUGCACUAUUGAGCUACUAUUCGGGGUUGCUUUCAACAACUAUUCAGCAAAUAUGGUACGCGCGGGUGCGUGAUUAGGUAUAUAUCUUGAUUAUAUUGAUUCUCAGGAUCUUUGCGGGUUGGCGAGACCGAAAAAUUCAGCCGGUCGUGCUGCUAUGCUUGUGACAGUCCUACUCGGUACUCACCGCAUGCCUCGCUGGCUCGCUUCAGAACCAAGCCAGCCCGGUCUUCACCCUCACCGUCCCCAGCCAUGCUCACACAGGACUCAGGCUCUACCGUCUUCCCAGGCAGUUCCACCCGAAGGGAACACUUCUCUGUGCACACAGGGUUCUCCUCAAACGCCGCUACCAGGGCUAACACGAGAACGACACACGCAGAGGUUUCUCCUCUAGGGUCCGUAGCGUAGAGACAUCGCCCCAUACGAACAAGUUUAAAGGAAGGCAGGGAUGCUACCAGGAUAACUUAAUCCAUUUCCACGGGACAAGCUUACACGCGGCUUUCCCUUUCGGGAAACCUCAAGCACUUAGCACAAACCUUGAUUACCACCACAUCACCAGAUCGAGCACCGAAGCGAUCAGACAACCACCGAAGAAGCAAGAUCACCGAAGACCUCCACCCACACUCCACUCAUACUCCAUGAAGACAUCCACCACCUCGGAAGUGCUCUGAGGAAAAAUUAGCCACCAUAUUUAGAAUCACCCACUACCGUUGUAUUACUCCACCACCUCUGUACUACUACUAAAAUAAAGGGAGGCCGUCGGAGCUCGUGAAUUAUGUACAGCGUUCGUACAUGUGGCAAGAAGAUGGUUCCUCUUGUUGGUUUCCUGGCGCAUCAACAUUCGAGGGGAAACUCGCGAUUUUUCCUUGGCAUCCAAACGAUUCAUGCCGAUUUGACGCUUAGGAGUGUAUAGUGGGCGUUGAGCUGCCGGUGUACGUGCAUGCAUAUGCAUGUUCCCCACUAGCCUCCAAAAAGCCGUAAGCCCGUUUCAUUUGUGCGUGCCUUGGAUAAUAAGCAAAGGUAUUCCCCGGCCUCCUUUUGUUUUUCAAACCUUUUUAAGUUCUUGCUUCUUGCAGGGAUCAAAUGUUUAUGACCUCUUUUUUAUUCUUUUUUUACAUGCAAAUUCAAAGUACAAAGCUAUUGCAAUCAUGCUUGGAAGAAAAAUGAGUAAUCAUUCGUGUACAUGUAAGUUUUUCUUCUCCUGUCUUGUGCAAGCCCUACCACUACAAUGUGUUUUUAAUGUUAACUUACCAGAAAAAAAAAGAAUUUGUUGCAGGAUGAACAGAUGACGCAUGAGAGUCUCUAAAUCAAAAGUGGUAGGACCAGUAGAAGGCAGUGGUGGGGGUGGUUGCUGAAUUGGGAAUGCUGAUCGGAUCGGAGGGUGCAUCGAGAAGCAUCAAUGAUGGCAUGUCGCCGUUGCUGCAGCUGCAUGCCGUGUGCCGCGAGUACGGCCGGUGAUGAGGUGCUCGCUCGCCGCCCGGCCGCGUGCAGCGGCGCUCCGAAUCAUUUCGGCCGCCGGCGGCACAUGGCGGGUGCGUCGACCUGACCAUGCGCCGUAGUACCCCGUGUACUUUGGCCCUGCACGCUUACUCCGGAUGUGCAUAUGGAAUUCAAUGCGCAUGUAUAACUGGUCACACCGUUUCCAUGGCUGAAUUUCGAAGGAAAAUUUCGCAGCGUUGAACAUUGUCUUCUUUUCAUCAUGGACAAAUUGAAAAGGGGUUGGAUUUUCGCAUCUUGCAUACAUAUAGGCUGCUCUUGAUUACUAUCUGGCAUGUUUGUUCAUAUUCAGUUGUUUCUUUUUGAUGAUUUGAACUUUGAAGGGCGAAAAAGGUUGAAGAGAAGGUAUCGUAGAGCUCAACUUUAACAACUUUGCUCCUAGCUGAAAAUUACUCACUGGCAGCACGCAUCGUGUCGGCGUAGUAGUAAGUAGUAGGUGGGGCUAGGUUCUGCGUAGGCCGGUUUUAGGCCCAAAAAGCUCCCUCACCCCACUUCGGCUUUUUUGUCACCAUCAAGGCCUGGUGUAGGCCCAAUAUAUAGGGAAGUAAAAUGUUAACGUCGCCGAGUAAUUUCGGCCCGUCAAAUCCGUCCGAGCAACAGCAGCAAGCAGCUCUGAGUCUCUGACUGAUGGAGCGACGUGGUCGGAUCGGAGUCCCUUUCCUGACUCAGCCACCAUCUUUGUUGGAAUCCAUAAAACGCACGUGCACGUGUGACGUGUAUGCGAUCGCUUCCAAAAAAAACCCAAACUGAGCUGCGGGAGAUGGCAGUUUCCAUGAAAUCCAGCAGCCUAGCUCCUUGUCCAUGGUUGAAUUGGCCGCUUCCCUCUUGGAUUACGCCAAGCUAAGCCUUGCUACAAAAACGGGUAGUAACUCUCUAAAGGCACAACACUCUUUGUAAAUAAUAUAAUCCAAGCCCAAACCUGUUGCCAUGGAAAGUGUAUUCAAUCACUGGUUUGUACCACCACUAAGAAACUUGCUUUGCCAAUUUCGCGUCGUGCGCUUGUGAAUUUCUAUCUUCAUCUAUAAGUAGAGGGCAACUACAUUUCUAGCUGUCUAGUCGCCACUCCUGACUCCUGUUAGUGAAUCGCUAACAGAGAACAAACUAAGGUGAUUUAUGAGAGGAAGUCGGGCCUCACCAAACCAAACUGGCUUCAAAUAAGUGAAGAAAUCACAAUUAUCAAACGCCAUCCACAAACGGCCAUUGGAACACCGGAGCAUCAAUCCACAGUCCUCUGCCACAACUUGCAAUCAGCAUUCUAGUUAAAUCAUAACCCACUAUCGCCAUGCGAACUACAUCAACUACAAUCUUUUUUGUUCUUAGUCACAUGAUCAGUAAUAUUCUAGUCACUACAUCACAUGAUGCAUGUAGCCUAUAUUUCCUGCCCAUGAUCAUCUAACACAAUAAGGUUGUUAUCUCAGGUGGCAACAUCAUAAUGUUGUGGUGAUGCGUUACGGUGUGGUGUUUAUAUGUACACAUCGUCAUGUCUUCGACUUUAUACAACAACAAUAUAGACUUUCAGUCCCAAGCAAGUUGGGGUAGGUUAAAGUUGAAACCCAGCAAGAGCCACAAAUCAGGAUUCGAGCACAUGAAUAGCUGUUUUCCAAGCACUCCUAUUCAGGACUAAAAUCUUUGGAUAUAUUCCAUCCCUUCAAAUCUCCUUUUAUUGCCUCUUCCCAUGUUAAUUUUAGUCUUCCUCUGCCUCUCUUCACAUUACUAUCACGCCUUAGGGUUCCACUACGCACCGGUGCCUCCGGAGGCCUUUGUUGGACAUGUCCAAACCAUCUCAGCCGGUAUUGGAUAAACUUUUCUUCAGUUGGUGCUACUCCUGACCUAUCACGUAUAUUCUCAUUCCGGACUCGAUCCCUUCUCGUAUGACCACAAAUCAAACGCAACAUACGCAUUUCCGCAUCACUUAUCUGCUGGACAUGUCAUCUUUUUGUAGGCCAACAUUCUGCACCAUACAGCAUUGCAGGUCUAAUCGCCAUCCUAUAAAACUUACUUUUUAGCUUCAAUAGUACCCUCUUGUCAUAUAAAAUUCCUGAUGUUUGGUGCCACUUCAUCCACGCCGCUUUGAUUCUAUGACUAACAUCCUCAUCAAUAUCCUCAUCUCAUUGUAGCAUUGAUCCCAAAUAUCGAAAUGUAUCCUUCCUGAGCGCUACUUGGUUUUCCAAACUAACAUCUCCCUCCUUAUGUGUAGUAGUGCCAAAGUCACACCUCAUAUAUUCAGUUUUAGUUCUGCUGAGUCUAAAACCUUUUGACUCUAGGAUCUCCCGCCACAACUCCAGUUUCCUAUUUACUCCUGCUCGACUUUCAUCAACUAGCACUACAUCAUCCGCGAAGAGCAUACACCGAGAGAUAUCCCCUUGAACUUGAAUGUCGUCAACUUUAUACAAAGGUUAAAAAGAAGAACAAGAAAAAGAAGAAAAGUAACAUGUGUGCCUACAUUAUGUUCUUAUAUAGUUGGAUGAGACAAUCGAACCAUGAAUGCUUUGCUGCUUCUUCAGAUAGGAGGUAUGUUCGAAAAGGAGAAGCCCUUGUACCCUUUGUAAGCAUAAUAUGCUAUUCUUGUGUAGUAGAACCCCGGGAUGAACAUUACCACACCCAGAACUGCAAAGAAAAUGCCUGCAUAUAUCCACAAAACAUUGGGGCCAGAGAUCAGGCAAUGAAGAAAAAGGGAUAGUGAUAAUAGUUAUGGUAACUUUUGCAUAAAUGCUACUCAGUGUCAUAUACAUCAUCAGCACUUUUGAAGAGUCUCAAGCACAUGCACACUGAAACUAAAUGGAAGGUGCAGAAACAAAUCGUCCAACUCUGUAUGUCACCAACACUUUCUUACAGAUAAAUUAGCAUGCAGCACACACUAAAAAGCAUCAAGCAAAAGAAUUUUGCAACCAGUGACAGGAACUGACUUUUCCUCGAUUCCAUUAAGUUGCCAAAACAUGUGGGCUUCGACAAAUUGCUGUGCUUGACGUCUGUAAGAAUGGCUAUAACAAUCGUUAACCAUCCCAUUUGUACCAUGUUUUGGUUGCCAACAAUUGCCAUCAAACAAUUGGCAUUUGAUAACUUAAUAGAAGUAGUUACCCUCAGUUCCUAGUUAUCUGACGGCUCCACGAAGUCUCAAACAAUCUCUCUGCUUAAGGAUUUUAUUCUCCUAUAAACUAGGAAAGCAAACAGAGCCCACAGGUUUAACAAUCCAUGAUCCUUUUUCUUUCACAACUUUUGGCCAGAGGAUCUGUUUCCCCAUCUUCAUUAGCAGAAAACGUACCAGAGGUUUAAAGUUGUACACAUUCCACAUGGUUUCUUAAAUCCUAACUAAAUGAUCUGCACGGAAGCCUUUUGGCUUGUCUAAAAAUAAUCCGCACGGCAUAACAAAAAACUAGUCUAUCAGUUUUUAGAGCCACUCGAAGAAUUUUUCCGGCUUAAAGUCUAAUCCAACUGUAUUCAGAAAGCAGGAAGGGGAAAACGAUUUUUUUUCCAGUAAAAAGGAUGUUAGGGUGUCGUAGAGAAUACAUCAACUAAUCGAGGGUGCUAGAGAGUAGAAACAAUUUAAAUAAUUAAUCCUCCCCUUCCCAGUCGUGCUAAACCUAGCCGAUCCCGAAUUCCCAACUCGGCACCCAAAUCGACCAACACUGAACUGAAAAAUCCAAUCGGGCACGGGGGGUUUUUGUCUCUCACCGUGGGCGCUGUCGCCGCCGACCUGGUGCGCGGUCAUGAAGGACCCCGCGACGACGCCGAGGACGCCGAACGCGAGGAGCGCGGCGGCGAACGCGAUCUCCUUGACGGGCGCGCCGCGCGGGCCCCCGACCGCGCCGCCGACCAGGUCGUCGUCGUCGGUGAUGGAGAAGGCGUGGUCCACGUACGCCAUGCCGACGGAUCCCGCGGCGGAGGUGGGGUGGGGUGGGGAGGAGAGGACCCGCCUCGCCUGCGGUGGUUUCGCGAUCUGGAAAAGCUCGUGGAAGAAUCGGGAAAAGCGCGGGAGGGGGGAGGAGGAGGCGGAAGCUUGCGAGGCGCGCAAAGGCGAUGGGGAAGAGUCAGAUGCGAACCAAGGCGCGGUCGCUUCUCGCGGCCGUUGCCGGGUCGCGGCUGUGGAUUCUGACAGUUUUUUUUCUCUCUCUCUGCUUUCUUUUUCUACUACUAGUUUUUCUUUGCUGAUCAGCUUAGAUCAAAGGGCGCCCUAAAAAAAAGUUUAGAUCGAAGGCCAAUUUCUCUUUUUAGAAUUUUAUUGUAUAAACAGUUGUUGUGCAUUUGCCCUUAUAGUAAGCAAAAUUGCAUAUUUGUAACUUUUUUUUAAAAAAAAGAUGAAUAUUUGUCAAACCCAAUGAAAUUCUACGGAGGCCGGGGCCCUGGGGUGAUGUUUCUGGAAGCCACGUAGGCUAGCAAAAGGUGAGCACGCUGAGCCGACCGUCGCUGGCGGGUACAUGCCGUAUGGCAAGAAACAUCUACAGUAACUGCGCCGCCGCGCCGGACGGACACCUCCUGCCUGCUCAGCCCUUCCCAAAUGAAAGCCCCGCCCCGGUGUCUGCGCCGCGUACAGAUCAGGGAUUAGUACUGAGUUCCAGUUCCAGUACGGCACGAUGACGGUGUCUGCCAUGAGAGAUGGCGGCGGCCUUCAUGAUCUGCUAUCCUGGCUGCCGGUGAAGCCCCUGCUCCGGUUCCGGUGCGUGUGCAAGGGCUGGCGCGCCCUCAUCUCCAGCUCGCCGUCCCCGCUCCUUUACCCGGUACUCAUGGCUGCUGCACGGGACACCCACAGGCUGUCGGGAGCCGGCACAGAGUCGACGCGUGCAAGGUAGCUAGCACACGGCCGGCCGCUGGCCGGAGUGGCGGAGCACGAGGAGCAGUCGCGGCGACGCCGUUCUCGCGGCGUGACGGUGGAAUAGGAGCGGCCGGAGCAGGCUUUAGUGGGGUCGCGUUCGUUCCUCCGCUGCGCUGCCUCUGCGCCGCGCCACCUCCGGCUUACAGGAGAGCGAUUAAAGCCUGAACCUUCUGCUCAUCCUCGUCUGCCUCACAUAGGUAAUAGAUGAUAAAAUACAUGCAACUAGCCAACCACUUCCAAGGAAAUUCAGGUUGUCUUGGCGGUAUGUUGCUUUGUGACUGAGUGAGCAUCACUGGAACGGCUGUGUAGCACUACAGGUGUUUGUGACAAUUCUGAGGAAGGAAAUGGCCCUUCAGACGGUGAUGGAACCCUGAGCUUCAUGCGUUUGUGGAAAAUACUGAGUUUCAGUUCAGUGCAGCACGCACGGUUGACUGGCAUCCGAUCGGACGUUCUGCCCAACGAAAUCCAUCCAUUAGUGGUCGGAUGAAUCCACCGUUGGACUGGAAAAAUCUGCAGAGACGAAACGAUCCCGUAGAAUCCAUGCAUGAUGCUCUCCGACGGGGCUAAAAGGGAGGGAGGGGGGGGGGGGGGGGGGGGGGGGACUGGGAGCGCACGGUGGUGGCGGCGGCGUCGAGGUCUCCACUCUCCAGGGGGAAGGACGUGGGAGGCGGGCGCGCCGGGACUCGCCGGCGGUCGGGCAACCCACGGCGUACGGCGGAGACGGCGUUCCGGCGAUCCCACGGGGUGGACGACUAACACGAAAUACCGUCCACCUCCUGGCUGCCUAGCAGCCGUCGGAUGGGGCCUGUACGGCCGAGAUCGGAAUGGAGGGCGUCCGCGGCCAGCUCUGCGAGGUCGCCACGCUGGGGCACGACAGCGGCACGGCGCCGACGACGACAUGGAGGAUUGGAGGCGCAGGCCGGCGCCCCCUGUCGUGACCUGCUGGUGCCUGAGCUGCACCGUCGCCGUCAAUGGCGUCACCUACUCGCUACCCCGCGACGCGCAUCGCCAGCACAUGAGGAAGGACGCGAACCGCAUCGCCUCGUUCGACCUGGAGAACGAGGACGAGGAGUGGAAGACGACGACGAUAGAAGGCCCGGCGCUCAGGCACGUGAAGCCGGUGGGAGCUGGCGCAUCGCGCUGGGAGAGCUCAGGGGCACCCUGACCAUGGUCGACACCGUGCGGUCCGGCCUGUACGGCCCGUCGCCGGACAUGAACACGGACGUGUGGACGCUGGAGGAUUCCGAGAGGAGCGUCUGGGUCAAGGCGUACGCGAUCCGGUCGCGCAAUAACUUCUACGAGGUCAAGGCACUGGAAGUGUUGCGUGAUGGGAGGUUGGUGCUGUUGAAAACCAUCAAGGAAACACGGGCGACAUCGGAUCAUCGUUGCCAGAAGCGGCGCAUCCUGCAGCUCUACAACCCCACCACUGGGGCUUGCACAGAGUGCUGGUUGUUAUGCCUAGAGAGUUCACAGACAUAAUUACCCUUUGCACUGGGAGCCUCCUGUCUUGAUUUGAUAUAAAAUUGUGGAUCAUUUAGUCGAGUGUUUGGUGGGUGUACAAGUCACAGUUUGUUGAAUUGUUCAGCUCAAGAUUAUAGGUACAAGUCACAGUUUCAGGGUCGUCGGGGGCGUCGAGGGCACGCUGGUGCCCGCGCGCCUCGACCUCGUAUGCGUCGACGGCGGCGAGCUCGGCGCCCGGGUCAUCGAUCCGGCGACGGGGCGGGCCGUCACCACCGUCGGCGACGGCCGCUGCGGCGGUUUCUCUACUUCUCCUACCGCAGGUUCGGCCGUGCUCUGUCCGGCGCGUACAAGGUCGUCCGCUGCAGCCGCUUCAGUUCCUGGAGACGCCAUGACCACCGCCUCCUUGAGAUCACCACGGUAGGGGCGGGCGGGGAGCCCGCGUGGAGGCAAUUGCCGGCGCAACCAGCGGCCUUUACCUGCUCGUGCCAUGGCUGCACGGCCGCCGUCAAUGGCGUCCUCCACUUCCUGACCGGGCACCCGUUCGCGCCUACGUGCAGGAGCCAUGUAGCCUGCUUCGACCUCGAGAGCGAGGAGUGGAAGACGACGAUCGAAGCCCCGGCGACCGAGUGGCCCAAGGAGGAAGAGAGAUGGGAGAUCACAAUAGGAGAGCUCAAGGGCACCUUGAGCAUGGUCGAGACCGUAAGGUCCCUCAUGGAUGGCACAGCGUACACAAACAUAUGGCUCCUGGUCGACUCCGAGAAGAGCGUAUGGGUCAAGGAGUACACAAUACACAUGCCUAGGACGGUGUCCCUUGUCGAAGCAUUGGAGGUCUUGGGUGAUGGAACAAUAUUGCUGUUGAGCACGUUCGAGAUGGAGGGGAACAGUCAUCUUUUUGAGAGAAAGAAGAUGCGCGUCCUGCAGCUCUAUGGCCCCAGCACGAGGGUGUGCAAGGAUUUGAUGAAGAUGGCUGAGCAUCGGUUCUGUAACAAGAUUGCCCUUUACACUGGGAGCCUUCUGUCUUGAUCAACCACCCCAUGGACAAUUCUUGCUGAAGAUAGAUACAAGGGCAAUGUUUGAUGAAAAAGGCCGAGCAUCAGCUGACAGGCAAGAUUACCCUUUACAAUGGGUCAUGGACAAUUCUUGACGAAGAAAGAUACAAGGGGAACAUUUUGUUAUAGUUUGCGAAAUGGCAAACCAACUUUGUUUUGCUCAAUAUUAGUAAAUGGAAAUGUGGUGGAUUUUGCUGCGGCAUUCGAUCCCCAUUGCGAAAAAGAUACAAGGGCAACAUUUUGCUCAACAUUGCUCAAUAAUUCUCAACAGAUUUGGCAUAUCUAUCAGGGAUUGGGAAACCAAUUUUCGUGUACCAACAUGACUAAAACAACUGUAAACUUGAUAUAUUAUACAAAGAAGCCAAGGCAGCACCCAUUAAAUAGAUAAACCAACGACUAAUGAACAGAACCAAGUCUGUAAACGCAAGGUGCAAACUCAGUUUUAUUCAUCAAAAUACAAACUAACUCACUUCCUAGUACCUACUGAUCAACAUGAAAUCAUCAUCAUCAAGAAUCCGCGCCUCUUUCUGUCCCACAAAGUUCUGCCUUCCAAUAGCUUCAACAAUCCGGACGAACUCAAUCCUUUUUUUGAGAGGAAGAGGAACAUACGGCAAUCUGAAGACAGGCCUUGUCACCCCAAGCUGAGCCAGAGCAGUGUUGAGAGCAAUCGGAUUUGGCUGGCAGAACAACCAUUUCAUCAGCGGCAAAAGCUUCUCAUUCAGAGUCGCAUUCUCGCCUUCGUACAUGAGGCUGUGCAUGAGCCCAGGAACAAGGUUGCUUGCGACGGAAAUGACUCCAGUAGCACCAUAUUUCCACCUAGAAUCAUGGCAUUCGUCGUCAUUACCACUCCAUACUGCUAUAUCUUUGUCAGUGUACUGCUUAACCCUCUCAUGCCCAACACAUUCCUUGACACCUGCCAUGUUUGGAUAGCCUGAAAUUGCCAUGAUAACUUCAGGGGGGAUAUCCUGGGCAGUCCUGGAUGGCACAUUGUAGAUGAUGGUCGGACCCAUUGGGAGGACAGCCUCAAAAUGAGAGAUCAUUCCCUCAAUUGAGGUCUUCCCAUAGUAAGGAUUGAUGUGGAGAGCUGCAUGCAUGCCAACAGCAAAUCCCUGCUCUGUCGCGUGAACAGCCUCUCUGGUUGAGUUACUUCCUGUGUUGCCUAUCACUUUAAUUCUAGUGCCAAAGCAGUUCACUGUAUGCCCGAUGAGCAUGAUAUGUUCAUCCCAGCUCAUAAGGUGACCCUCUCCUGUUGUUCCUCCAACAAUUACACCUUCAGCACCACCCUCUAUCUGCAUGUUUAUGAGAGAAUCAUAUGCUUCAAGAUCGAACCUUCCAUCUGGCAGAUAGGGGGUUUUGACUGCGGUGAUUAGUCUGAGACUUGUGAUGUCACCUGUUGAUGUCCUGCAUCUCAGACAGAGAAAGAUCAGACCACAGCAGCAGAUAACAUGUAUCAGAGCCUUCAGAAACUUGUGUGCAAACAGUCACAUACACUUGACUACAAAGCUAUAAAGUCAUGAAACAGAAAAGUACCAACUGCUGUUACCAAAGAUUGUAUAUGCUCAUUUAACAAGCAGAACAAACUCAAAUUGCAAUAUUAGCACCACCUAACCGAGCAUGUAGCUUUUGUUAUAUAUUUCUUUCCAGACAAGGCAGUUCGAUAUUACAUUCUAACUAGCUGCAGCAUGUCUAAGCUUAAAGAGACAAUUUCUUAUUCAACAUAUUUUCAUUAUGCUGAUAACAACAUAGCAUGUUACUCUACUGAGUAAACGAUUCUCCCAGCCAGGGGCGAAGCUAGAGAAAAACAAUAGGGGGUGUGGCACUUCAUAACAUAUGUAUGAUGUUCAACCAAAUAGAAUGAAAAUUUAUAGCUAUAACUGAUUUUGAAAUUUUUCUGGGUGCGGCCGCACCCAGAACUUACAACGUGGCUCCGCCCCUGCUCCCAGCCCACGGCACGAACUUAUCCUGUCUGCAGUAUCUAAAGCUCGAAACAGUAUAUGAACAUAUUUAAAGCUUUUCAAAAUAAGAUAGUUAGCAAUCAGCUAUUUUGGAACUACCCUAAGCAACAAGGAUCAAUUACAAAUGUUCUACGUGAAAGGAAUUUGGCCACAUGGAAAAGUUGGCUUCCAAGUUCCAACUGGGGGCUGUCGAAAAUGAUUCCUUUUUCCCAACAAGUCUUAAUUUUUUCAAUAAGAGGCCAGAGUAGAAGGGGCAAAAUAUAGCUAAAGGAAAAAAAAGAAGAAAUCUCAGGUACACAAGAGAUUUAUUCUCGUCAGAUUAAUGCAUAUGGUAAAUUCCACCAAAACUAACAGGUUGUUCAGUGUCAUAUAAGCUAAAUAAAAGUGCUAGAAAAAAUACGGACGAAUCAUCAUCACUUCAUCAGCAUUCUUUUAGAACUAAACAAGUUACCGGUUCUUCACUUCAGUACUUCGCAUUGGAAGAUAAUCAUCAAGAGUGAUGGCUGCCAGUGAAAACUUCCCUCUGCCAGUCCUGCAGGAUUACUUGUGUUAGUGUUUUGUUUAGAAGCAAGGAGAAUAAAUAAAGGCAGAAUAAUUAGUGAAAUAAAGAUCCAAAGGCAACUCCUCAGGAAAUUCGUAAGGGAAGUUGUAAAAAUCUUCAUAAGUACAGAGAUACAGCAGAACAGAUGGACAAGCUGGGUGCCUGUAUACUCCCUCCUGUCAUAAAUUAACUUAUCUCCGGACAUGAAUUCAAGCUUGAGAAAUUUUACUACCAGUGCCAAUUUUUUAUUAAUGUUUUUUGUUUGUGCUAAGAUGGACUCUCUCUUCUUCAGUAUGCCACCGAAAAUUUGGUCAUUCUGUUUAUCAAAUCUUCCUUGAAACGUAUUCUUUUAAAAGAAGGGAAAUGUGCUUUCGCCACCAGUUUGACCAUAUUUGACUGAACAAAGACGAGAAAUUUGAUAUGACCAAAAUAUCAUCCACAGCGACAUGAAAUCCAGUCGAUAUCCCCUCAAGUCGUGUUAAAAAAAACAUAUUAGGUGGGAAUGAGACCCGUGAAACGUACACAGAUUGAAGCCCUGAAGGGAGUCGCCGCGGCCGCGCAGCCAUCGAGGGGGGAGAGGGGCUCGCUGUCGCUGCGCAGCCAUUUGAGCGAGGGGAGAUCGUCCGCGUCGGGAGGAGAUGCGUCGGCAUCGGCGGCGAAAUCAUGGAGGGUGGCCGGAGCCGCUGGUGGCUGGCUCGUGGAGACACGAGAUGAGCACUCGACGAAGCGUCUGCGUGGGCAACCUGCAGCGGCGGCUAGGGUUCGUUCGAGGCUUUCUUUGAGGCAAAUGGUAACGUUACUGCUGGGCCUUGGGCUUGGAAGGUCGGGUCAGGAGGCUUCUCUCUUUUGGGCCUUUGGUCACACGAGGGAAGUUUCCUGUUCCUCCAGGCCUAUCCGAGCAAUUUGAGCCCGGCCCGUUAAAUGAAAUCUUUGUAUAGUCCCUUUGCAUGCAUGAACAGAACAGCCGCCGAGUUCUUGACGCUCAGAAAACCUUGGACUCUUUCCAGGCUCCAGAUCCAAUAUUGGCAUGUCAUAGACUCAUUCAUAGCACAACUUCGCUGCGAUGGAGGAGAACGGCAGCGUGUCAUUCCCGGAGGACAUCAUCUUCGCCGUGUUAAAUCCUGGCUGCCGGCGAAAUCGCAUGCCGUGCCACUUCCGGUGCGUGUCCAAGGAGUGGCGCGCCCUCAUCACCACCCCAGGCUUCAUCGCCGCGUAGAGAUCCCGUGCCGCUCCGCUCCUCGCCGGCAUUUUUUUUGAAAACAGGAGGAUCACUGGUUAAUUAUUAUUAAAUGAGAGUAUAAAGAGAAAUCAAAACAAAGUGUAGGGACAAGUCUGAAGCCAAAGCGCAGGCAAAGAAUAAAGAAAGAAAAGAAAGGAAAAUAAAAUUACAGUGAGUUCAGCCAGGUUGACAUAGCAGGGGCUAGAAAAGAUCUUGCUCUAUGGAGAGAGAUUAAGGAGAAUUCAACCAUGAAUUUUCUUUUACAAUUCUCUACUGGUGGAGGAAUACCAUUAAAAGUGCAGUCGUUCCUGCAUGACCAAAUGCUUGAGGACAUUAAGAUGAUGAUUUCCAUUAAAAAAGGGACUCCUAGCUUUGUUUUAAUUGAAUUGAAGAUCUUGGGAUCGGUCUUGUGGUUAUAACUGAAACUCCGAUGGAUGCCCAACAUGCCUUGACAAAAUUGCACCUUAAAAACAGAUGCGUUACACUUUCUCUCUUUUGGAGGAUGCACAUUUCACAUUGUAGGAGUCAAGAAACAUGUUUCUGCAUCCCAGAAUAUCUUUAAUACUUAAACGGUCCUUGAUCAAUAGCUAGAAAAAAAACUUUGUGUUUCAUUUGACAUCUUGAUUUCCAUAUGAUCCUGGUGCACAGAAAAAGAACACAAGCUAAGCAAGUUCACUAUCAAAGAAAAAUCAUCAUCAGUUUUGUUGCCAAUAGAUGGCGUUGCUAUCUUUGCCUUAUCACUAACAACGCCUUGAAUCAAAAUUUAUAAGAAUAUCACUAAUUGGCUAAUUGCAGGUGAGACUGGUUACCGCAAGCAGCUCAUCCAACUGAAACUUAGAAAACAAUAUAGACACUACAGACAGCAGUAAACAGAGCAGGAUUGCUUAUACUGUCUGACCAACCACUUUCAGUUCCUGAUGCCUAAUCUCUUAUUCUAAACACGAAAGUAUUUCAUUGGUUGAAACAUAGUAACAUACCAGAUUUGAUCCAUGUUAAUUAGAAAAUGGCCUAAAUAAUCCAAGGCAGAAAAGUUUGAUGAUUCUCAGUACAUCGGCAACUUCUGAAUUUUUGAUGAUUCUCAGUACCGGCAACUUCUGAAUUUUUGAUGAUUCUCUAUGAUGGCAAUACCAGAUGGAGAGAAAACAGGAAAUGCUCAGCUCAUUUGCAUAGCUUGAGCUUCUUGAAGAAUGAAGAAACUUGGGACUUUGGGCAAGGAGCUGUGGCUAUGCAUGUUGGAAUGUGCGGCGGCGCACCGAGAGGGACGGGAGGGCCCGACUUCUUCAGUGUUGAACUGAAUCCCGUGCAUACUUGGACCAUGAUGUAACUAGUUAGAUGCAUGUUCAUGUUUACAUGUUAGCUAGCUGUUGCAUGUGCUAAACGGUGUAAAGGCCAGAACUGUGCUGCGUUCAUGGUGCGGCCCAGCGGUUCCUUCGCCACACCACGCAUCAAAUGUUCCUGCUCUUUAGGCAGGCACGAUGCAACGUGAGAGGACGUGGCGGGGAUCUCGAAUCUUGGAUCGUAAGCAUCGUGGAAUAAAGGAAAGAAAGAACCACCGAAAAGGUUGCAACAUUGGCGAUGAAAGUCUGUGUUCCUCAUGUUCGCAUGUGUCUGUCCAUGAGCGACGUCGUGAGAACGAGAGUUGCCGAUCGCCGUCGAGCUGCAAUUCCGGCAGCUGGCGCCAACAUUUGGUAUCAGAGCCAAGUUUGUGUUUUAUAGUGGAUCAAUCAGUCCACCAAGAUCGCCUACGCUCAAGAAGUUCAAGCCCAGUCCGAGCCAGCGGCGGCAAGCAGGAUGGGCGAUGGCGCGUCAGCGAGCAUCGCGGUGGGCGCCGUUCGGGAGAGCUCGCUCAUGUGGCCGAUGCUCAGCCGCACCAAUUACUUUGAAUGGUCGAUGUUGAUGCAGUGUAAUUUCGAAGCCAUGGAGAUUUGGGGGGUGAUCGAGCCUGGCGGCACCGGUGUCAAGCGCGCCCAGGAUCGGCAGGCCAUGGGAGCUCUCCUGCGAUCCGUGCCAAAGGAGAUGUGGCAUCCGCUGGGGAGCAAGAAAACCAUCAAGGAGGCGUGGAAUGCGGUGAAGAGCAUGCGCGUUGGAGCUGAUCGCGUGAAGGAAGCCAACGCCCAACGCCUGUUGAAGGAGUUCGAAAACAUCUCCUUCAAGGACGGCGAGAUGGUGGACGACUUCGCGAUGCGCAUCAGUUCUCUAGCAGAGAACCUGCACACACUCAAGGAGAACGUCGAUGACUCUCAGAUGGUGAAGAAGAUGCUGCGAGUGCUUCCCCAACGCUACUCCCAGAUUGCGAUCUCAAUCGAGACUUUACUCGAUCUGACAAAGCUAUCACUGGAGGAGCUCAUCGUCCGUCUGAGGAUAGCGGAGGAUCGACUUGAGGUGGAGUCCAUCACCGACAAGAUGGGGAGACUCUUGUUAACGGAGGAGGAUUGGCUGUCUAAAUACCGUCAUCGUCUCCUUCUUGAGUCAUCUUUAUCGAGUGGAGGUGAGAAGAAGACCGGGUUCUACUCAACCAAGCCAAAGGGUGGUGGGCGCGGCGACAAGAAGGAGCCCGUCGUCAAGCUGAUGUCUGAAGGCACUCCAAGGUGCAAGGGACGUUGUAGGAACUGUGGCAUUUAUGACCACUGGAAGGAGGACUGCACGCGGCCUAAGAAGGAGCGCAAGGAGGAGGCGCACAAUGUGGAGGUGGGGCCAGAGCACCCGACGCUUAUGCUAGCCACGGUGAACGCCGUGCACGUUCAGAAGGGGUCACUCGGUGUCAAGUCAUCGGAGACUCGCAUGACGCGUCAGGUCGUGCAUCUCAACGAGAAGAAGGUGUAUCCCGCCGAUCGUGAUGAAGAUAAGGGUGUCUGGGUCCUCGACACAGGGGCCAGCAACCAUAUGACGGGGCACCGCGAGGCACUCGCGUCGCUGGACAUGUUCGUGCGCGGCACAGUGCGCUUCGGCGAUGGGUCACUUGUCGAGAUCCAGGGCAUCGGAUCUGUGAUGCUCUAGACCAAGAAACAUGGGCACAAGGUACUUACUGAAGUGUAUUACAUUCCCAAGUUGAAAAGCAGUAUUGUGAGUCUAGGCUAAUUGGAGGAGGAUGGCUGCAAGAUUGUGAUAGAGGAUGGGUUCUGCAACGUGUUCAACGUUGGACGUUCCUUGCUAGCGCGGGCACCUUGUGCCAAGAACCGCCUAUAUUUGUUGAAGAUGCAGCUAGCUGCUCCAGUCUGCCUGGUGGCGAAGGCAAAUGAUCAGCCUGGCUAUGGCAUGGCCGCUACGGCCAUCUCAAUUUCCGGGCACUUCGAGAUCUUGGCAUGAAGGGAAUGGUGGAAGGCAUGCCGCUGUUGGACAAGGUGGAAGAAUUCUGUGAUGGCUGCGCUCUGGGCAAGUAGCCUCAACACCCGUUCCCGCAAGUGGCGAGCUACCGUGUGAACAUGCCCCUAGACUUGGUUCACGCAGAUCUCUGCGGACAGAUCAGGCCAUGUACUUCGGGGGGUAAGAAUUAUUUUCUGCUCAUUGUUGAUGAUCAUAGCCGCUACAUGUGGGUGGAGCUCCUGACGACGAACGAUGAGGCAUUCAAGUGCUUCAAGCGUGUCAAGGCAUUGGCGGAGACCGAGCGUGGUGGCAAGCUCUGUGCGUUCCGUAGCGAUCGCAAUGGCGAGUUCAAAUCCAUUGAAUUCAAGGAGUACUGCGAUGAGCACGGCAUCAAGCACUUCACCACCACGCUGUACACACCGCAACAAAAUGGCGUCGUUGAGCACCGCAACCGUUCUGUGGUGGAGAUGGCAAGGUGCUUGUUGAAGAGCAAGAAUGUCCCGGGUGAGUUCUGGGGAGAAGCAGUGUCUACGACGGUCUACUUGCUGAAGCAUGCACCAACCAAGAGCUUGCAAGGGAGGACGCCUUAUGAAGCAUGGCACAACAAGAAACCCAAGGUACAUCAUCUGCAUACAUUUGGUUGUAUAGCUCAUAUGAAGAAAGUUGGGCUUGGCAUUUCAAAACUUUCAGCUCAUCCACCAGAAUGGUGUACAUUGGCUAUGAGGCUGGGACAAAGGGCUAUCGGGUCUAUGAUUCUGUAGCCAAGAAACUACACAUAUCACAUGAUGUCAUCUUUGAAGAGAGUCAGGCUUGGGACUAGAAGCAGGAAGCCCAAGUAGAACCAGUGGCAUCAAUGUUUGAUGUUGAGUUUUAUACUGUUGCUGGACAAGGAAGACUAACUAAAGGUGCAACAGAAAUUGAAGAAAUAGCAAAACCUGUGGAUCCAGAUCAAGGAUCACCCUCCCAAGGUCAGUGGCCAAUCAAUACUGACUCAAGUGCUGGAUAAAAUCAAUCAACACCUCUAGAGAGUCCUUUUGCACAGGCAGUUGAAUUUGCAACACCUCUAACUGGACAUACAGUGAGUUCGGAAGGAGUGCCAAUGAGAUUCAGAACACUGGAUAAUAUCAAUGACACAACUGAUGAAGUUCAUGACUUUGAGUAUAGUGGUUUGUGUUAUCUUGCAGCAGAAGAACCAAGAAGUGUGGAUGAAGCACCGAAUGAGAAGUGUUGGAGAGAGGCUAUGGUAGCUGGAAUGAAUUCAAUUCAGGCAAAUAGAACUUGGGAGCUGUCAGCAUUACCUGCAGGCCACCGAGCAAUUGGGCUUAAGUGGGUUUUCAAAGUAAAGAAAGAUCCAGACGGCAACAUUAUCAAGCACAAGGCACGGUUGGUGGCAAAGGGAUAUGCUCAGCGUGAGGGGGUGGAUUUUGAUGAAGUGUUUGCCCCAGUGGCAAGAAUAGAAACAGUGAGGCUGUUAAUUGCUUUGGAUGCACAGAGGAGUUGGCAAGUGCAUCAUAUGGAUGUAAAGUCGGUAUUUUUGAAUGGUGAUCUAAAGGAGGAGGUGUAUGUUCAGCAACCUCCUGGAUUUGUUGUCAAGGAUGGCAGUGGUAAAGUACUAAGAUUGAAGAAGGCCUUGUAUGGGCUGCGUUGGACAGUGAAUUGCUAAAACUUGGAUUUGUGAGAAAUCCCCUAGAGCAUGCUGUUUAUAGAAGAUUAGAGAAGUAUGGCUAUCUUCUAGUGGGUGUUUAUGUAGAUGACUUAAUAAUCAGUGGACCAAGCAAGGUGACAAUUGAUGCCUUCAAAAGGGAGAUGAUGAAAAGUUUCAGUAUGAGUGAUUUGGGGCUGCUUACCUAUUAUCCGGGUAUUCAAGUGGAUCAGAAAGAAGGGGUGACAUCAUUGUGUCAGAGCUCAUAUACUCUGAAAAUUCUGGAAUAGGCAGGCAUGAAGGGGUGUAAUUCGUGUCAUGUGCCAAUGGAGAAUAGAUUGAAGCUGAGCAGAAAUGACAAAUCACCACUUGUUGAUAAAACAAAAUAUAGGAGUAUUUUUGGAAGCUUGAGAUAUCUAGUUAAUGCCAGGCCAUACAUUGCUUUUGCAGUGGGUAUUGUCAGCAGAUACAUGGAAGAACCAAGAACAAGUCAUUGGGCAGUAGGCAAACAGAUAUUGAGAUAUCUAGCUGGUACAGUAAACUAUGGAUGCAUUUACAGGAAGCUGGGCACUACUGAAUCAGAACUUGUUGGGUUCAGUGACAGUGAUUUGGCUGGGGAUGUUGAUGACAGGAAGAGCACAAGUGGAUCAGUGUUCUUGCUGGGAACAAGCUUAGUGACUUGGGUGUCUCAGAAGCAAAGAGUGGUAUCUUUAUCAUCUUGUGAGGCUGAGUAUAUUGCUAGUGCAAAUGCAGCUUGUCAGGGCAUUUGGCUCAGCCGACUUCUGAGUGAACUGCUUGGCAUACAGGCACCAAAAGUGAGACUCCUGGUUGACAACAAAUCGGCUAUUGCUCUAAGCAAGAAUCCAGUACACCAUGACCGAAGUAAGCACAUUGACACAUGGUAUCAUUUCAUUCGAGACUGUGUGGAUAAAGGUGAGGUCGACAUUGAUCAUGUGAGCACUACUGAGCAACUUGCAGACAUCCUGACAAAAGCUCUUGGGCGCGUCAGGUUUGUGGAACUUCGUCAACAGCUAGGAGUAGUCGAGGUGCAGUGGGAUUAGGGGGUGAAAUGUUGAACUGAAUCCCGUGCAUACUUGGACCAUGAUGUAAAUAGUUAGUUGCAUGUUCAUGUUUACAUUACAUAGUUAGCUAGCUAUUGCAUGUGCUGAACGGUGUAAAGGCCAGAACCGUGCUACAUUCAUGGUACGGCCUAGCGGUUCCUUCGCCACGCCAUGCAUCAAACAUUCCUGCACUUUAGGCGGGCACGACGUAGCAUGAGUGGACGUGGCGGGGAUCUCGGAUCUUAGAUCGUAAGCACCGUGGAAUAAAGGAAAGAAAGAACCACCGAAAAGGUCGCAAUAUUGGCGAUGAAAGUCUGUGUUCCUUGUGUUUGCGUGUGUCUGUCCGUGAGUGACGGCGUGAGAACGAGAGUUGCUGAUCGCUGUCGAGCUACAAUUCUGGCAGUCGGCACCAACAUUCAGACGGUGCGUGCACGGGUCCACCUCGGGCGCACGGGUCGGGAGCACAGCGGAGAUGGCGACUAGGCUGCGCCACCGGUUGAGGGCCUCCUGCAUGGAGUGUGGGACCAGGAGGUGCUCGAUGCCGUGGAUCACGCUGUCUGGGCACACCAUUGCAUCCGGGUGCGUCACCGCCGCGCCGCCGCCGACCCGCACCGCGCCAUCGGGAGCGGUGGUGAGCUCCAGUGGUAGAACCUUCUGCUCGUGCGCUUGAGGGCUCGACUCAUCCGUGACCUCGAUGGGACUCAGGCGGCCACAUCCCCGCUUCGUUCCGCGCUGGGCCUCCCCGUCAUCGGACCUCCGGACUAACCCACGCGGCGAGGAGCCCAUGCUCAGUGACCGCAGCGUCGUCGCGCCGAACCCCAAUGCAGGCGGCGCGACCCUUCCCCUCCUCUCCUAUGCUACCGCCACCGCCCCGUUGCCCCGGCCGCGAACCGCACCGGGCUUACACGACCGUUGUCGGCCCCCUCGUUGCCCACGUAGCGCCACCAAGUCUCACGAGGUGAGUCCCCUAUGCCUCGGCCGGCCAUACACCCCCAGCCCCGCGCCGCGACGGCCUGCAGCACCCACCUACCGCUUCGACCCCCUCGUCAGCCAUGUAGUGCCACAGAGUCGAGCGAGGCGAGCCCCCCCAGCCAUCACCGCGGGGCCUAUCCUCCUCGUUGUGCUGCCAGCGGGCUCGCCUGUUAGAACAUCGUAUGUAAAUCGAGGACCAGGUUGCUGGACUCGUUAGCUAUCAGGAGUUGUAUAUAUGGUUCGGUUGUGUAGAGAUAGAAUAGAAUUAAAAUUUAAAUGUAUCCUAUAGGAUCACAACUGAACCUAAUCACAACUACCUAUGAUUGUAAUCUCUUUGAGGUGUUUUAUACCUCCUAUAUAAACACAUACCAUGGCAAUGCCGGGUAGGCAAUCACGUUCCUUCCAUCUUACAUGGUAUCAGAGCGUUUUCUUCCAAAUACAUCUAGAACUAGCCUCAUUCAUCCCAUGGCGUCCUCCUCCUCCUCCACCCCAACGGCCCUGGGUCAUGCUGUCUCGAAAAAACUUAGCCGAGACAACUUCCUACUAUGGAUGGCACAGAUCCUUCCCCCUAUCCAAGGUGCCCAGCUCAUGGGGAUCUUGACCAUCGGGGUGGAGCAGGCCGACAAGAAGAAGACUACUGUCGCUAAUUGGGAGUACGACGCAUGGCUGGCAAAGGACCAACAAUUGUUGGGCCAUCUGCUCAAUUCCAUGACAAGGACAUCCUGGUGCAUGUGAUCUCCCUGGAGUCCUCGACAGAAGUUUGGAGCGAGCUUGGGAGAAUGUUCUUCGCUAACUCCAAGGCACGGGUUUCAAAUCUGCAUGUGCAGCUUGCUAACCUCAAGAAGGGAAGCAUGACUACGGCGGCCUACUUCAACAAGAUGACAAGUAUUAGAGAUGAACUUGCUGCUGUGGGUAAGGCUGUUGAUGAUGUGGAGAUGGUAGAAUUUAUCAUGAAUGGUCUAGAUUUUGAUUACAACCCAAUUGUUUCGUCCAUCCUUGGCCGAGCUGAUCCUAUAUCGCUGAGUGAUCUCUACUCUCAGCUAGUAGCAUAUGAUAUGUGCUUUGAGAUGUACCAAGAAAAUCAAGGAGGAGGAGCACACUACCAAUCCUCCGCCAAUGCGGCAGGACGUGGGUGUGCACCUUCUCGUGGACACACGGGGAACAAUCGUGGUGGGCGUGGCCGUGGUCAUGGUGGUCCAUCACACAGCAACAACAACAACAAGUCCAACACUUCUUCCAAGCAGGGAGGACAAAACUCCAAACCAACUUGCUAGAUCUGUAAGAAGGUUGGUCAUGAAGCUCCGUCGUGCUAGUAUCGCUAUGAAGAUGAUGAAGACUAGCAGAACAACAAGACUGCGGGAGCAGCUACGAUAGGAUACGGUGUUGACACCAACUGGUACGUGGACAACGGUGCUACUGAUCACAUCACUAGUGAGUUAGACAAGAUGACGGUUCGUACCUUGCAUACCCCUAUUAGAAAUUUACAUAUUGAUAAUAUUCGUUAGGUACCUAGUGUUCACAAAACGUUUAAGCUCCGACAAUAACACCUUCCUUAAAUUUCAUCCAAAUUAUUUUCUUAUCAAGGAUUAGGAAACGAAACAAGUUCUCCAUCAAGGUAGAUGUAGAGGUGGCAUGUAUCCUCUCAAGUCGAAGCAACCAGAAGGGGGUGCAAAGAAGUAAGUUUAUGGAGUUAAUAAGCCAUCGUCUUCCAAAUGGCAUAGUCGUUUAGGUCAUCCAACGUUUUCUAUAGUUGAGUGUGUUCUUAGAGAUAAUAAUCUUCAUUUCAUUAGUGAUAAAAACAUUGAGUCCAUGUGUGAUUCCUGCCAGAAAACCAAGAGUCAUCAAUUACCUAUAGUGUUUCAAAUACCAGGUCAAGUUCUCCUCUUGCUUUAAUCUUUUCUGAUGUUUGGGGUCCAGCACCUCUAUCUAUUGACUGCAACUCUUAUUAUGUGAGUUUCAUUGAUGAUUUUAGCAAGUACAUAUGGAUAUAUCUUUUGAAAAAGAAGUCAAUGUUUUUCAAGUCUUCCAUAAUUUCCAAAAUUUGGUAGAAAGGAAGUUCGAUAGGAAAAUUAUCUCUAUGCAAAUGGAUUGGGAGGGGGAAGAAUAUGAGAAACUCAAUCCUCUUUUGAUAAAAUUGGCAUCUCACAGAGUAUCUUGUCCUCAUGCUCAUCAACAAAAUGGUUCCGCUGAACGAAAACAUCGUCAUAUAGUUGAAGUUGGAUUGGACCUCCUUGCACAUGCUUCUAUGCCCUUAAAAUUUUGGGAUGAAGCUUUCUUGAUAGCUACAUAUCUCAUAAAUCUCCUUCCUAGCAAAGUUCUUGGCUUUCAAACUCCUAUUCAGUGUCUCCUCUAAGAAACUCUAGAUUAUAACUCUCUUCGUACUUUUGGAUGCGCAGUUUGGCCAAAUCUACGACCAUACAACACUAGAAAACUUGAUUUUUGCUCUACCAGAUGCGUGUUCCUUGGCUAUAGUUCCAUGCACAAAGGAUUUAAGUGCUUAGAACCUUCUUCUAGUCGAGUAUACAUCUCACAGGAUGUUGUCUUUGAUGAAUCGGUUUUUCCUUUCUCUACUCUCCAUCCUAAUGCAGGAGCUCUCCUUCGCAAGGAAAUUCUUCUAUUGCAUGAUCAUCUCACAAAUCCGGGGGUCUUGGUAGUGCUAACCCUUUGUUUACUAAUGUUUCUGAUGACCUUAGUGUUAAAUAGGACAGGGCUGCACAGGAUGUCCCUGAAGAAAAUCGGAGCCAAGGUGCUCCAAUGCAUUUUGUUUCCCCUGAUGCAUCGGCUGCAGAAAAUCUGGGCAGGCGAUCCCAGGCAGAUACGCCUGCCACUGCCCUAUCCCAACCUAGCACGCGAUCCCGUGAAGAUCCGAUGUCAGCUUCUGGUCCUUCGGGAGCCACUGCACCGUCGCCGCGUAUGGGGGGAGGGAGGGCAAAGCCGCCAGCACCCACUCCCGAUCCGCCAGCUGUCAUCUUCUACGCCGCCAUCUGGAUCCACUGCGCCACCCUCUUCUACAACAACAAGCGCUAUUCCAAAAGGGAUUCCUUAUUCACUGCCUAAACCAUCGCCAGUGCAUAGAACCAGAACAAGAUUGCAAAGCGGCAUAGUAAAGCCUAAGAAGCUGUAUGAUGGGAUGGUCAGGUAUGGUCACUUUUGUUCUACAGGAGAACCAGAAAAUGUUCAAGAGGCGUUGAGUGGCUUAAAGUGGAGAAACGCUAUGGAAGAUCAGUAUACUACUUUACUUCGGAAUCAAACUUGGCACCUUGUGCCGAGGCAAGAAGGAAAAAAUUUAAUUGACUGCAAGUGGGUGUACAAGAUCAAGGAAAAGGCAGAUGGUACAAUUGACAGGUAUAAAGCCCGGUUAGUAGCAAAAGGCUUCAAGCAACUAUAUGGUAUUAAUUAUGAGGAUACUUUCAGUCCUAUUGUCAAGAUUGCUACUGUCAGACUUGUGUUAUCCAUUGCAGUGUCUAAGGGAUGGUGCUUGAGGCAACUAGAUGUUCAGAACGCAUUUUUGCAUGGUGUUCUGAAAGACGAGGUAUAUAUGAGACAGCCACUAGGUUUUGAGAGUGUGAAUGCUCCACAUCUUGUGUGCAAGCUUGACAAGGCCAUCUAUGGAUUAAAGCAAGCACAAAGAGCCUGGUAUUCUAGGCUCAGUUCUAAAUUAUUAGAUCUUGGGUUCAAGACUUCAAAAUCUGACACCUCUCUCUUUAUUUACAAAAAGGGACAUAUAACAAUUUUUAUGUUAUUUACGUGGAUGAUAUUAUAGUUACCAGUUCCUCUCAGGAAGCUAUUGUGGCAGUGCUUCAAGAUCUCAAGAAAGACUUUGCACUGAAGGAUCUUGGCAAGUUACAUUACUUUCUAGGAAUUGAAGUGAAGAAGGAAAGGGAUGGCAUACAUCUGUCAUAGGGAAAAUAUGCAGAAGAUAUUCUGGCUCGUGUUAGAAUGGCAAAGUGCAAACCAUCACCAACACCUCUUUCUACUACAGAGAAGCUAUCAUGUCAUGAAGGAGUGGUGCUUGGUCUAGGGGACAGUACUUGGUAUAGAAGUAUUGUAGGUGCUCUUAAAUACCUCACCCUCACAGACCUGAUCUUGCUUAUUUAGUCAACAAGGUAUGCCAGUUUCUGCACUCUCCCACCACAAUUCAUUGGACUGCUGUUAAAAGGAUCUUGAGGUAUGUCAAAUACACCUGUGAGGUUGGGUUAAAAAUUCAUAAAUCUAGCUCAUCUCUUGUUAGUGCCUUUUCUGAUGCUGAUUGGGCUGGUAGUAUUGAUGAUAGAAGAUCCACUGGUGGUUUUUUGGAUUCUUUGAGCAAAUCUUAUUUCAUGGAGAGUAAGAAAACAAGCUACCGUUUCACGUUCAAGUACUGAAAUUGAGUAUAAGUCAAUGGCAGUGCAACGGCUGAGGUAAUAUGGUUACAGUCUUUGCUAGCAGAACUUGGUGUGCACCUCCAGGAACCACCAUGCAUGUUUGUGGUGUGAUAAUUUGGGUGCUACAUACUUGUCAGCUAAUCCUGUCUUUCAUGCUAGAGCCAAGGAUAUUGAAAUAGACCUUCACUUUGUACGUGAACUGUGACAAAUAAGCAACUGCAGGUUCGGUUUAUACCAAUAGGAGAUCAGUUAGUUGAUGGUUUCACAAAGGCUAUUCCCGUUCAAAAGCUUGAGAACUUCAGGAACAAUCUGAAUCUUCAGGCGAGCAGAAGUUUCGAUUGAGAGGGGCUAUUAGAAGUAUUUGUCAUCGUAUGUAAAUCGAGGACCAGGUUGUUGGACUCGUUAGCUAUCAGGAGGUGUAGAUAUGGUUUGGUUGUGUAGAGAUAGAGUAGAAUUAAAACUUAAAUGUAUCCUAUAGGAUCACAAUCGAACCUAAUCACAACUACUUGCGAUUGUAAUCUCUUUGAGCUGUUUUAUACCUCCUAUAUAAACACGUACCAUGGCAAUGCCGGAUAGGCAACCAUGUUUCUUCCAUCUUACACCGCCCUGAGGUAGAUCCACGCACAGGCGGCCGUGUCCUAGCAGUGCCACACCGGAUCUGGGUCGGAAGCCGCGACCUGGGAGCACCGCCUCGGAUCUGGGCCGUCACCCACAAAGGAACGGGUGCGGCACCCCAUCACCGCCGCUCUAGACCCACGCCGGAACCGGCAAGGGUGCUGGGUGUGCAAGCCUGCGGGUGCGGGGUAUGCGCCGGCGAACGAAGCGCACCUGGAAAAGUGAAGGACACCAUGCUGUUUUGAGCGGGUGGAGGGGCGAGUGUGGAGGGACUAACUAAACGACGUGGGCCGUUGAAUUUGAGUGAUGAGAGAGAAAACGAUGGCAGUAGAGAUCUUGAUGGUCCAUUUUAACUGGGUUGAAUCUUUGGGUGCACAAAAUGGUGUGAACGGAGGAAAUAUUAUCUCUAUGGGGAAACAUUGUGGUGUGUCCAUAGCAAAGAGUUAACUGGUGGAUUUAGUAGGUGUAGAUUUGAGUGGUAAUGCACAUGAUGAGGUAGAAUGCUUGUGUUUGCAGUGAAUCAAUCAGCAUGGUUUGAAUCCACUGAUACGCCUAAUAACAAGAGAUGAAUAAAGGAAGAAUAAUCACAAAGUUCUUUGGAAUUAGUCUAAAUUGUAUAUUAACAAAAGUUUCAAUGAUAGGUAAGGUUACUGGGAAAAGUAAAUUCAGAAUUGUUUGACAAGUGCUUUCUAGAUGAGAGAUAGUCCCUUGAUCCUAAAAUGCCACAUAAUAUUGUUUAAACAUUGUGCCAGCAUCUGCACUUUUUUCCAAGAAAAACUGAAAACUGACUCCAGAAUGAAUUCAAUUCAAGUAGGAUACCAGCAGCGUGUGUUUUAACUAUUCCUUCAGGGACUCCUCAGUAAAUUAUGCUGUCUCCUGCUUCAAUGAAAAGGCAGAGCACCUGCCAUUGUUCUAAAAAAAAGACAACUCAAUAGUCCUCGACUCUUUCUGCUAUCAAUUUUGUUAUGAAAGCCUGGCAGAAAUCACAACUCUUCACGAACUCAGCAAAACCCGAAUAAGGCUGGAGGGGUUUCGUUCCAGAGGUACGGGGUUUGAUUUCGGGUCGCUAAGAGGUUGGAAUAACCAAAACGAGCUGGAACUGAUUCAAGACCAGCUCUAUUCCGGUCCGAACUUGUAACAACCUAAAUGUAAUUACAUUGUUGAACAUUGCAUCAUGAGCAUCAUUGUUUGCUAGUAUAAAAUUUUUGUGCUUGUUUGAAUGCAUUUGCAUUUUAAUUUAAAUUAUUGAAUAAAGUGAAAAUGCAUGCCUUGUAAAGAAACUUUCUUUUUCCAAUAGGACAUAUAUGGAAUCAUAGUUUGGUAAAAUACUUCUUCAUUAAAUAUGAAUUUAGGUGGUUUUUCCCGAAUUUUAGGAAUCCAUCUUGAAGCCAAACAGCUCAGCCAAAAAAUCAAAAAUAGCAUUCCGGGAAGAAUUUUCAUUCAAAUCUGCCGUAGCUUUUCUUCCCGAUUCAAGCAAAAUGGGUUACUCCUGAUUUCUUGUAUGAACACAAUUUUCUAUGGAAUUUUCAAAGGCUUGGAAGAUCAAGUUUGGAGUAUGGAACAAGAGAGAAGUUUCUGUACAAAACUAUCCAUGUUACAUGACUUUUGUUCCAUGGACUAUCCACCCCUCCCACGCGAACUAUCCAUGAGACACCCGUGUGUGCAUGUUGCGCUUGCAAAGAUGCGGUGCCACACACCUUUGGACCCUACCCGAUCUCUCCACCUCACUCCUGCGCCCCUCUCCUCCUAGUUCCCUUCCUCCUCCACACAGAAGCCCCCCUCCCUCCCUUGCAUCUUCCCCAACCAAGCCAUGGAGGAAGAACUCCUCCCUCCCCACCAAAUCCACCACCACCAUCAUAGGAGUUGAGUGGAGGACUGCCGGAGGAUGUCAUCGACGAGCUCCCCCAUCACCUCGUCUACCUCUUCCUCACCGAAGACCAAGGAGAGGGCCAUCCCCAAGCUUCUUCUUCCUCUUCCUCAAGCUCUCAAGGAUGAACUCGACCCAAUCUACUCCAACGCUGCCCUACGCCAACAAGUGGCCUCUUGCUCU